UACAGAGGGGGCAAGCGUUGUUCGGAAUUACUGGGCGUAAAGGGCGCGUAGGCGGCCUUCUAAGUCGAACGUGAAAUCCCCGGGCUCAAUCCGGGAACUGCGUCCGAUACUGGAAGGCUUGAAUCCGGGAGAGGGAUGCGGAAUUCCAGGUGUAGCGGUGAAAUGCGUAGAUAUCUGGAGGAACACCGGUGGCGAAGGCGGCAUCCUGGACCGGUAUUGACGCUGAGGCGCGAAAGCCAGGGGAGCAAACGGG
rnacentral:rRNA from 1 species